AGGGGAAUAGCUCAGCUGGCAGAGCGACGGUCUCCAAAACCGUAGGCCGAGGGUUCGAAACCUUCUUCCCCUGCCA
rnacentral:tRNA from 1 species